UACGGAGGAUGCAAGCGUUAUCCGGAAUGAUUGGGCGUAAAGCGUCCGCAGGUGGCUGUGUAAGUCUGCUGUUAAAGAGUCAUGCUCAACAUGAUAAGAGCAGUGGAAACUACACGGCUAGAGUGCGUUCGGGGCAGAGGGAAUUCCUGGUGUAGCGGUGAAAUGCGUAGAGAUCAGGAAGAACACCGAUGGCGAAAGCGCUCUGCUAGGCCGCAACUGACACUGAGGGACGAAAGCUAGGGGAGCGAAUGGG
rnacentral:rRNA from 1 species